AAAAUAAUUUUAAGUCUAAUCUGCUCAAUGAAUAAUUUUAAAUAGCUGCAGUAUAAAUAACUGUACAAAGGUAGCAUAAUAAUUUGUUUUUUAAUUAAAAACUAGAAUGAAUGAUUAAAUGAAAUAUAGACUAUAUCAAACUUAAAAAAUAAAUUUAUUAUUUAAAUAAAAAAAUUUAAAUAACUUUUAAAGACGAGAAGACCCUAAAGAAUUUAAAUAAUAAUUUAAAAUAAUAAUUUAUAAAUUAUUAUAUUAAUUGGGGAAAUUUUAAAAUUUAAAAAAUUUUUAAUUAAAUAAACAUAUAUUUUUGAAUAUAUAAAAUUUUUUAAAAAAUUAAAUUAAAUUACCUUAGGGAUAACAGCAUAAUUUUUUUAAAAAGUUCAAAUUUAUAAAAAAGUUUAUGACCUCGAUGUUGAAUUAAGAUUAAAUUUAAUAGAAAAAUAUUAAAAAUUUAAGUCUGUUCGACUUUUAAAAUCUUACAUGAU
rnacentral:rRNA from 1 species